rnacentral:rRNA from 1 species
CCUACGGGGGGCAGCAGUGGGGAAUAUUGCGCAAUGGGCGAAAGCCUGACGCAGCGACGCCGCGUGAGGGAUGAAGGUCUUCGGAUCGUAAACCUCUGUCAGCAGGGAAGAACGGUCACUGUGCUAAUCAGCAGUGAAUUGACGGUACCUGCAAAGGAAGCACCGGCUAACUCAGUGCCAGCAGCCGCGGUAAUACGGAGGGUGCGAGCGUUAAUCGGAAUUACUGGGCGUAAAGCGCUCGUAGGCGGUAUGUCAAGUCAAGGGUGAAAUCCCCGCGCUCAACGUGGGAACUGCCUUUGAAACUGGCAAACUGGAGUGUGUGAGAGGAUAGUGGAAUUCCAGGUGUAGGGGUGAAAUGCGUAGAUAUAUGGAGGAACAUCAGUGGCGAAGGCGACUAUCUGGCACAUAACUGACGCUGAGGAGCGAAAGCGUGGGUAGCAAACAGGAUUAGAUACACUUGUAGUC